rnacentral:lncRNA from 1 species
UAAGGCGGCCUCAGAAAGCCCACAGCACAGGUCCCAGCUGAACCGCAAGCUCCUGUCUAACCGUCCCCAGCUCAGAGCAAAGCAGACACCUGAAGCAGAUGCUGCUCCCCCAAAAGCAGAGCCCCAAAAGAUGCUGGGGCAUGCGCCAUGGGCAAGGCUGUCUUCUUCUGGCCCUGCUGUCCUGCUGCUGGUGGUCUGUGAGUUGGGGCAUUGCUGGGCAUGGGGGCUACGGGCUGGAGUGUUGCUGCUUCUGUGGGCAGGACAGGCCCAUGGUGGGCACAGGGGAGGAUGGGGAUAGUGUGUGUGGGGCAGGCGUGCAGCACUGUGGGGCAGAGUUAUUUUGCAGAAGGCAGGAUUUGGUCGGGGCGAUAUGGGGGUAGGGAGAUCUGGAUGAGCCUGGACACUGCUCCUCUCAGCAAAUCCCUCCACUGUGAGCUCUGCCCUAUGGCAGCCCUUCACUGCUGUGUCUCCUGCAGGGGAUCUCCUGGCUCCUGCUCUCCAAAUGAACUCAAGGUCUGCUCUGCCAGGUACAACAGUUGUGCUCCAGUGUAUUCUCCCUGUGGUGUCACCUGUAAGAAAAAUCAUUUUCUGCAAGGAUGGGCUGGAGGCAUACAGCCAGAGAGCUCAGCAAGGGCAGCUGAACUACUCCAUGGUCCUGAACAUCACAUCAAGAACUACAGGAAUAUAUACGUGUGGGUACCAGGCGCUGAAUGAGAUGAAACAGAGGAGGAGCUCUGCCCUCAGUGCUGGCCUCAUCCUGGAUGUCCCUGGUGAGACACAUCCUCAGGCUGGAGGGGUGAGAAGGGACGGAGGCACUCGCCACCACAUAGAAUCAUAGAAUCAUAGAAUAUCCUGAUUUGGAAGGGACCCUUAAGGAUCAUCAAGUCCAACUCUUCACACCGCACAGGUCUACCCAAAAGUUCAGACCAUGUGACUAAGUGCACAGUCCAAUCUCUUCUUAAAUUCAGACAGGCUCGGUGCAGUGACCACUUCCCUGGGGAGCCUGUUCCAGUGUGCAACCACCCUCUCUGUGAAGAACCCCCUCCUGAUGUCAAGCCUAAAUUUCCCUUGCCUCAGCUUAACCCCGUUCCCGCGGGUCCUGUCACUGGUGUUAAUGGAGAAAAGGUCUCCUGCCUCUCAACACCCCCUUACGAGGAAGUUGUAGACUGUGAUGAGGUCUCCCCUCAGCCUCCUCUUCUCCAGGCUGAACAGGCCCAGUGCCCUCAGCCGUUCCUCAUACGUCUUCCCCUCCAGGCCUUUCACCAUCUUCGUAGCCCUCCUCUGGACACUCUCCAACAGUUUCAUGUCCUUUUUAUACUGUGGUGCCCAGAACUGCACACAGUACUCGAGGUGAGGCCGCACUAGCGCAGGGUAGAGCGGGACAAUCACCUCCCUUGACCUACUAGCGAUGCCGUGCUUGAUGCACCCCAGGACACGGUUGUGCUGAGGCUGGAGCUGUGUGCUGCAGCAGGCUCUGGGGUGGUUCCCUCAUGGGAGUGUUCCCUCUCCUCCAAGGCAGCCCCUUAGACAGAGAUAGUUGUUCUCAAGGGGUCCCCCUGUCCCUGCAGCACCACCUCUGCUGCAGACAUGGGGCUGUGCAGAGCCCAGGCAGAGAGCAUGGGCUGGGGAUGUGGAUGAAUGCUGGAUGAGCCAGGGAUGGACCAAGGUCUGCACUGUGCAUUGAUGAGCCUAUGGCAGGGCAACUGGGAUGACU